rnacentral:rRNA from 1 species
UACGGGGGGGAGCAAGCGUUGUUCGGAUUUACUGGGCGUAAAGGGCGCGUAGGCGGCCACCGCAAGUCGACUGUGAAAAUCUCCGGGCUUAACCCCGGAAAGGUCAGCCGAUACUGCGGGGCUAGAGUGCAGAAGGGGCAACUGGGAAUUCUCGGUGUAGCGGUGAAAUGCGUAGAUAUCGAGAGGAACACCUGCGGCGAAGGCGGGUUGCUGGGCUGACACUGACGCUGAGGCGCGAAAGCUAGGGGGGAGCGAACGGG